rnacentral:rRNA from 1 species
GACGUUUGUUUCGGAAAUCCCUGGGCAAAAGCGCCGUAGGCGGCUAGGUCCGUCCAUGUGAAAGCCCCCCGCUCAACCGGGGAAUUGCAUCGGAUACAGCCUGGCUUGAGGACGGUUGGGGUGAGUGGAACUCCUGGUGGAGCGGUGAAAUGCGUAGAUAUCAGGAGGAACACCGGUGGCGAAAGCGGCUCACUGGACCGUUACUGACGCUGAGGUGCGAAAGCUAGGGGAGCAAACGGGAUUAGAUACCCCGGUAGUCCUAGCCGUAAACGAUGGGCACUGGGUAGGGGGGAAGCCUAUGCUCUUCCCUGCCGAAGCAAAUGUGUUAAGUGCCCCGCCUGGGGAGUACGCUCGCAAGG